ACAAAACAUCAAGCCAACAGUUCAGGACUAGUCAUUCAAAUGGACUAAAGGUGGGGGAGAAAAAAUAAGAGUGGAUAAAAGAAAGAAAGAAAACAGAGAAAGGUGGGAAAAAAAAAACAAAGGAAGGAAGAGAGAAAAGAGAAUGAGAGGAAGAGAAGGAAGGGGAAAAACAAGAUUGACUUUACAGUAUGAGAUAUACUAUUAUAUAUUGUAGUAUGAUGCCUCUGGCUUCCCUCUAUCACACGUCUUCUUUUCGAGUAAAGGUUUUUCAUAAAUGUGAGCGUGGAAGAAGAAACCAGUUAAAUAUGGAACUUCACACCAGGACACAAAAGGACUUCAAACUUUUAGAUUCCACAAGUAUGUGAAAAGAUGCAGUAUUUGUCUUUCUGUGCAUGGUUUACUUCACUUAUCAUCAUGUCCCUCAGGUUCAUCCACGUUGUUGCAAAUGACAGGAUUUCAUUCAUUUUUAAGACUGAAUAGUACUCCAUUAUGCAAAUAUACCAGAUUUUCAUUGUCUAUUCGUUCACUGAUGAACACGGGUUAAUCCUAUAUGUUGGCUAUUGUGAAUAAAGCUGCAAUGAAUAUGAGAGUACAGAUAUAUUCUUGACAUAUUAAUUUUAUUUUAUUUGGCAAUAUACCCAAUAGUAGCUAGAUCAUAUCAGAGUUCUAUUUUUAAUUUUUGAGGAAACUUCAUACUGUUUUUCAUAAUAGUUAUUACUAAUUUACACUCAGUAUACAAGAGUUCCCUUUUCUCCACAUUCUUUCCAAAAUUUGUUUCCUUUUCCCUUUUUGAUAACAGCUACUCUAACUGGGGUGAAAUAAUAUCUCACUGUGGUUUUAAUUUUCAUUUAUCUGAUUAAUGAUUUUGAGCUUUUUAAAAUAAAUACUUGUUGGCAAUUUGUAUGUCAUCUUUUGAGAAGUGUCUAUUAAAAU
rnacentral:lncRNA from 1 species